rfam:Triticum aestivum genome assembly, contig: Triticum_aestivum_CS42_TGACv1_scaffold_272679_3DS
UAUCUACUCCCUCCGUUUGGAAUUACUUGCCUCAGAAAUGGAUGUAUCUAGAACUAAAAUACGUCUAGAUACAUCCAUUUCUGCGACAAGAAAUUCCGAACGGAGGGAGUAUAAU